AAGGGGAGCAAUCCCUGAGUAGAGUGGCAAACGGGUGAGUAACACGUGGGUGACCUGCCUUCGAGUGGGGGAUAACGUCCCGAAAGGGACGCUAAUACCGCAUGACAUCCUGCUCUUGGACGAGCGGAGAUCAAAGCUGGGGAUCGCAAGACCUGGCGCUUGAAGAGGGGCCCGCGCCUGAUUAGCUAGUUGGUGAGGUAACGGCUCACCAAGGCAACGAUCAGUAUCCGGCCUGAGAGGGCGGACGGACACACUGGGACUGAGACACGGCCCAGACUCCUACGGGAGGCAGCAGUGGGGAAUUGUUCGCAAUGGGCGCAAGCCUGACGACGCAACGCCGCGUGGAGGAUGAAGAUCUUCGGG
rnacentral:rRNA from 1 species